CCAGCUGUGUCCGUGCCUGCCCUACAAUCGGCUAAUAAUAGUGACUUAGUGUGUGCAUCGCAGGGAGAGGUUCGCCGAGCAGACAACAUGUCGGGUCGUGGUGGUAAAAAGAAACAGAAGAUAAUGUCGAGAUCUGCUCGAUCCGGGGUUCUUUUCCCAGUUGCCCGAAUGCUCCGCUACUUGAAGCGAGACACUCAUCACUUCCGUAUCGGGGCCGGAGCCCCCGUUUACAUGGCUGCCGUCAUCGAGUAUCUCACUGCUGAAAUCCUGGAGUUGGCUGGCAACGCGGCACGAGACAACAGGAAAGGGCGGGUAACUCCCCGACAUAUCCUCUUGGCAGUUGCCAAUGAUGAAGAACUGCACCAGUUGCUGAAGCACGUGACUAUUGCCGCAGGAGGCGUUUUACCAAAGAUACUUCCCGAGUUGAUAGGGAGGAAGAAGGGCAACAAGUUCCCCAACACCCUCCUCUCCAAACCUGUCGCAGCAGCUCCUCCCAAACCCAAGAAAGUAGUCAACAGCCCAAGUUCCUCCCCCAGUGCCAAAGUGGUGAAGAAACCUUCACCAAAGAAAGUUAGUGUUGUGUCAGUCAAAGGCAAGCCAAGCAAGGUCAAGGGAGGAAAGGUCAAGGUGAAUGCAGGGGACAGCACCAACACCAAGAUCGGCACCACUGACGCCAGCGGAUUUACCAUCCUGUCUGAGAAGAAACUCUUCCUGGGACAGAAGAUGACCGUGCUCCAGGGCGACAUCGUAAAGAUGACUGCUGAUGCCAUUGUCCACCCCACCAACUCCACAUACCACAUGGGUGGGGAAGUAGGUCAGGCAAUGGAGAAGGCUGGAGGAAAGGAAUUCCGUCAGGAGAUAGACAACCUUCAAACAGCCCACGGACCCAUUGAUACUGCAGGGGCUGUGAUCAGUCAAGGCUUCCACUUCCCAGCAAAGUAUGUUAUCCAUUGUAACGGCCCCACGUGGAAAAUGGAUAACCCGCAGCAAUUGCUGGAAAAAGCAGUCAAGAACUGUCUAACUUUGGCUGAUGAGAAAAACCUGAAAAGUCUGGCGUUCCCUUCUGUUGGAAGUGGACGUGCUGGCUUCCCGAAACAGACGGCAGCUCAGAUCAUCCUCCGUGCUAUCAGCAACUACUUCAUGACAGUGAUGACGAGCUCGCUGAAGCAGAUCUACUUCGUACUCUAUGACAUGGAGAGCAUUGGCAUAUACACCAGUGAAUUGGCGCGACUAGACUCCUAAUGUGCCAGUCAUGUCUUCAUUUCUUCAUCUUCUUGAAUGAAUCAUCUGACCUGUUUGCCUGGAUAGAUCAUUAACAUAUUUACAUCUCCACAACAAAUAGCUGAAGCUACAUGCUGUUUGGUUGUUGAUGAAACGAUACAGUGUACACACUGUUAAUGUGCUUUUUCAAUGACUAUGCAGAUCACAAUUCUCACAUUCAAGUUUUUCAUUUUAAACAUCUGCUUAAUAUACUGAACAAAAAAAUUAGGGAUCAUGAAUUUCAUCUUUAGUUAAUUGUGGGCUCACUUUCCUCAACUACAACGGGGUGGUGGGGUAGCCAAGUGGUUAAAGCAUUCGCUCACCACGCCGAAGACCUGGGUUCGAUUUCCCACAUAUGUACAAUGUGUGAAGCCGAUUUCUGGUAUCCCCUACCAUGAUAUUGCUGGAAUAUUGCCAAAAGCAGCGUAAAACUAAACUCACACACACUCCUCUACUAAAACAUAUCCCCGAACAGUAUAUGAUCCUGAAUUAUUUUUGUUUGGUAUAUAUCAACAAAUUUUAUGCAUUUGUGUUCGAUCACAGGGACUGUGUGUCAUCAUCAUCAUCAUCAUGACAUACGCCAUACUGUAUGUAGUCAAUCCAAGCACUCAUCUUCUAAAGAUCUCUAUCCAGGCAAGCAGAUCUGUCCUCAGACUGUGUUCAUGUAAAAUUUGUGUGAGUGAAAUUGAGGCCACACUUGCAAGGUCAAGGUCAUUAUAAAAUAUUUGAAGUUCCUGUUGCACUUUCAUACAACUUAUUCCAGUUAAAGACAUAAAACAAAUUAAAGAUUGGGUUAUUCAGUGGAGGAUAUUAAUGAUGUAUUUACGUGAGAGAAAAGUGAACAAUUAGUUUGAGUUAUAUAUGAAGACCUAAAUAUGUGAAGUUUAUUUUUACGAAUUUAUUAUAUACAAAUAAUUAUGUUAUUUAUGUCUUAAUAAGAUUAUUAAGAGGAAAAUAUUUUGAUUGUCUUAAGAAAUCUUUAUCUAUGUUUAAUGUGACCUUGAUCAUCUAAAUGUGGAUUUAUCGAGCUGUUUCUGUGCUUUCGACAAUUUUCUGAAGGGCAGCCUGUUAGUUAGGUUCUUUGAGAGGGAGACUCAUUUAGUUCAUUUUACGCCCAAUGUAAUCUGUUUUGGCGAAUGAUUGAGACUGGUUAUUGUCUGGCGUUGAUGUUUUAUAUUUACCCUGUACUAAUAUCAGUGUAAUAAUUCAUGCACUUGGUGGCUGCUUCCUCUCACGCACUGCAAACCAUGGCAUAGCCAUGUGCUAGCUUUAGUUCCACACAUAUGUUGUCAGUGUUUCACAUUAUCAUGAAAACAAAUGCAUCAUUGUCAUGCGAUUGCCCAGUACAACUGUUAUUUUAACAUUGAUCUUGCAUUCGAACAUUCUAGGUAUGUCACUGUUGUUGGGGGUUGUUAUUAUUUUAGGGGGGGGUGUCUUAAGAUCGUUUUUGUAUCAGAUUUCUGAUAAUGUGUUCAAGAUUUCCUGUUUUACUGAAAGAUUGUCUUUAUCAUAUAUCUAAUGAGUUUUUUAACAUGCUACAAACAUGAAGCGAGGGAACUAAUGAUUUGAACGUAGCUUUUAUCGAGGUAAACAUUUACGAAACUGUCGUAGCAUCUGAAUGCAACAUCUAAUCACAAUCAGAUUUCACAUCCUGCAUUAACAGUGUAUGAUACAUACAGAAGCCAGACUGUGUGCUUAUAGAGGAAAUCACAGUCACUUAUGCAUUUGAACUUUGCCCAUGAUGAAGAAUGUCUACGAGUAAGGAUGUGGCCCUUACAGGCUACCAUAGUUGGCAAAGGUGGGUUUGGCAUCACCAGGGAUGUGCCAUGUGUUUAACCAUGUUUUCAGAUGAAUCAGGGUUUUGUUUCUGAUACGAAGAUAACAGAAAAUCUUGCUGCGUCUGUUCCAUUCGCUGAAAUUAUUAACAGAAAUUUUGAACUGCAACUGAUUAUCUAGGUAUUUGGACAUUAAACUGGCCCUCUAAGUCUCGUCACAUUCCCCCAAUAGGGCAUCUGCUCUUCAAGCAGAGAGUGCCAAGCCCAUCCCAAUCCAACUAUGGUAAGCUGUUAGGGCCACACCUUUGUUUAGAGGCAAAUCUGUUUCCUGGAGAUUCAGAAUCCAUUGACAUGGUCCAACUUCGGGAAGCUCUUCAGGCAGGGAGGCGUGUUAUACCCAGGGCAACCAUAGGCAACCAUAGGCAACCAACAGCAUGCCAUUAAGAUUUCAUUUAGUGUAUGAAAUAAGCCAAAAAUCCAGCCAAAAAUGGAAUAUAACCAGACCAAAUAUGGUGAAUUUACUCAGAUGUAUGGAACAUCUAAAAAAUUUGACCAGACCAUCGGGCUGGCUAGCUGUAAAUUUUGACCGUCCAUCAGAAAUCUAGACUGUCUCGGGCGGUCAGAUGGGCCUUAUUUCUUACACUGUUUCAUUCAAGUAUUGCCCAACAUAAUGGACAAACCAGAUAUUGAUCUACAUGCCUGAAAUAUAUUUCACCCACAUUUGUCAUCAUUACAUGUUCCCUAUCAUUUCAUCAGUUCCCUUAUCUUUUUUCAGUAAGAUAUCCAAAAUAUCAAAAUAUUCAAAAUUUUCUUUCUGAAAAAAGAUAAAACUCAAAAAUAACAAUUUCUACUUUUUAUAGUUUCCAAUACAUGUAUGUCUUAAAUAAUUUUUGAGAUUGUAUCGGUUAAAGAUUUUAUAAGGAAUUAAGACAAAUUAAGGUAUCGAAAGCCAUAUGCUAAUUAUUUAAUAUUUUGAGAUGUCACUUGUUGUCAGGAUAACGCAAUGUGGACAUUAUUUCUUCAUUUUAGGUGCAAUUUUGUUUCCGUGAACACCACCACUGCCAAUACAUGCAGCAAAACUAUCACAUUACACAUUAUGUAACUUUCAUUAAGGGCUUAGUAAUCAGGUGAAACCUUUUACGUCAUCAGGGUUUGUUUUGUCCCAAUGCUGCUGACUAUUUGGUUCUUACGACCUUCAUCUGAGUUGUCAUCCUCGACCUUCCAGGGUAUACCUCCAGUCUAUUGUCAGUCAUGCCCGGGAACCCUCGCUAGCUUUAUUUAAGAAGUGACGUCGUCAGUGUUCAAUAACUUUGCGCAGAGUUCUUCUCACAAUGCUCGCAGAUGAAAUUUUAUUGGAUGGCUGUAUUUUGUAUCGCGUAUCUAGAAUCAGACGAGACGUUAUUAUGUCGAGCUUGAGAUUUUCCCAUACAGUUCUCAGGUCCAUAUUUGCUGUAUAGGUCCUUUGCCCUACAACCAUAUUGCUGAACAGCUUCCAGUUUCAUAUUAGGUUUACAUGAAUGACAAGUUACAAAAUUCCUGGAUAAAUAUUUCCUAUGUCUUAUCAUUAUGGAGGGGUGGAGGCAGACAGUGGUAAGAGUGUUUGCUUGUCAUGCCAAAAGUCCAGGUUCAGUUCCCACAUGGGUACAAUAUGUAAAGUUUAUAUUUCUGGUGUCUACUGAUAUUGAAGGAUUAUUAAGCAGUGUAAAACACUACUCAUAUGUCAUCAGUUAUCUAGAUUAGUGUGUAAUUGCUUUAAUUGAAUGAAUCAAAAUAAGUGAUAAAUAGUUUUUCAAAAUGUUCACAACCCAUGACCAUGUUUCGUUCUUUUUUAUUAAAAUUGGUUAUCCAUGUCAGUAGAAUUUUACAUUUCCAGGCAUAUUUGUUUGUUUGGCAUAAGUAAGCGGAAAUGGACAAAAGUUUCGGUAAAUCUAAAAUCAGAACUGGAACUGGAACUGUUCUGCUUCAGACCAUCCUUUCUACUGGUGUAUCGCUAAAAUAGCUUAUAGUGUAUUAUGAGCAGCUGUAUGCUAUAAUUGUGCAACAAUUAUCAGUGUAAUUAGUCACCUCUGUUCAGUGAAGGAACCGACCAUUUUAUAAUCUGGGAAGACUGUGAGGUAUGUUUCAGACAAAAUAUUUUGCCAUCAAAAAUAGUUUGCUGUGGAAGGAUGGGGCAAACAACUUUUUGAUAACACAUUAGGACAGCAAAAUGCCAUGCGAGCAAAUAAUUAACAAAAUUAUUGAUUAUCAAAAUUAUUUUUAUCCAGUAUUUUUUUUUUUCAAAUCCCAUAGCUCCCCAGGAUAUGGAAUGAAUGGUUCCUGAACUCCAAUAUUGAGAUAGUCUUGUAUUUAAUGACUGUGUUACGAUAGUGUCUACUGUAGAGGACUGCAUGUGUCUUUAUUUAUUUGUUGAGGUGAAUGAACAAUCUAGUGACCGAGCGGCACGAAUGUGUAUUCCAUCCCACAUGUUGUAUAUCACCCAUAUCUACCAUCGUCAAUCAUUACUCCAUGCAAGGCGAUAAUCAUGUGCCACAUUAACAUAUAUAUAUCCAUGCAUUAUCCUCUAUGGGGCGCCGACUCAGCGACUUCAUCCUCCACACUUGCCAAAGCUGUACGUCAGUAUCACUGCAGGAUCAAUACGUCAGAUGGUUUAAGUUUCUUUAAUGAUUUAAAUUUAAUAUUUUGGACCCUGGUUAAUCUGGACACUCAAUCUGGCAAAUCCAUUUUCCAGAUUGUGACUGUUACCAAUGUCUCUGUAUAAUUUAAGGAGUAUUCUCCGAGACUAGUUUCCCUGGAGAUGGUAUUUCAGAAAUUUUGACCAUCCUGAUUAAAAAGGUUUGGAUUGUGUUGGUGUGCGACGACUAUUGGCAGUGUGUUGGAUACAGAAGCUGUCUCGUUGCCCCCGUCAUCCUAGCCCAGUCCUGACAAACACUGUUGUGCCAAUGUAAGAUGAAGAUGUGCACUCUCUUUAUAAUUACAUCUUUACUUCAAAUGAUACCUCUACAUGAAGAUCAGACUCCCAAGAACUAAACCGUCCUACAGCAUCAAAGCUUCUAAAUUCUUGGUAAACAAAUCAUUCAGACGAAAUAUUUGAUGUCUGUAUUUUGAAAAUGAAUAUAAACAUCCAGUUUCAAAUAAUAGUGGCUGUAAAAUUGCGGUUGUGGAUAUAUAUAUUCUCUGUCUUUUCUGAUGCCAUGGCAUCUACACCAGCUAAUGAAAAUUUCUGUUGGUUACAUGACCAAAAUUUCUGAAUCAAAAUGGUAGAGAAUUGAAAUUAUGAAUAAAGUUAUGGAUUAAAAAAUGUUCGGCUGAAGAACCAUCCUUCAUUUAGAUUGGGAGGUGAUAGCGACUCAGCCUUCAUCUGACAAUCUGUGGAAGGGGGCGGUCAGGUACCCUAGUGGUUAAAGCGUUCGCUCGUCACGGGAUUUCUGGUGUCCCCCUGCUGAGAUAUUGCUGGAAUAUUGCUAAAAGCGGCGUAAAACUAAACUCACUCACUCACUCAAUCUGUGGAAGGGUUGUCUGACCUUCACCCUAAGGUAUCAUGUUGGAGUAAAUAAUCCGACUUCAGUGGAGUGCCGCAUUUGUAGUCUACAUUGGCAACAGGAUGGCAAAAAACUUGUACAUUAACUAUACACAUGAGCAAGUUUUAUGGGGGCCAUGGUUUUAUUGGACCACCAGUUACAUGAUAAGGUUUGUGUUUUCCGACUGCAAGAUACUGAUAUUAACAUGAUUAAUGCAUCUGACUAAUCAAGUCAAAGAUUGAUGAAUUAAUUGCACACGAGAUGAGUUAGCAAAUAACGUGUUCAGUAGUGUUCUUUUAUAUAAUAGAUGAUUUGGUCUUUCAUUCAUUUAUCAAUUUUCACUUUAAUUUUACAUAAGAACAAAAUGUUGUACAACAUUAUUUCCAGUUUAUAUACUUAUCUAAACCUUUUGUUGCUGGUAGAUUUGCAUCUUCAUUAUGCACGGUUUACAUUUUGCUAAUCUGCACCAAACUCUGAUCCACUCCUGAUAUUCUCUAAUCUCAAAUUACCUAUAUUUUCAGUAUCCAAUAUGCUAAUCUCCUCUCUACCAACCAAUCAGAGUGCAAGAUACAAACCAGCCUUUAUUUUUUAUUGUCAAUAUCAACGUCAUGGAGGCCAAUCCCAUUAAUUGGAAAAGUGUGAAUUAGAUAAAUUGAACUGAAAACCUGAGCGACAUGCUAUAGAAAGCCUUAAAAAGGUUUCGAUGGGAAGGAUGAAUUUGUGUCCAUUUAAUUUGGCAGUGGGAAGUGCCUUACCAUGUCCUUGCUGGUCUUAAUGAUUGAUUGGUCGGUAAAAUGUUUAUGAAAAUCAAGGGCAGAUAAUUUGAGAUUGGACGAACCACAUGAAUGAAUCCAGGGACCCUAUCCAGAAAGCUUUCAUAGCACUACCACACAUAAGCCAAUGAUGUAGCAUAGAGCUACGAUAGGUCAUAACAUUACAAACUCUUUGUGAAUCCGGACCCGGUGUUUUUACCAAAAUGUGAGCCCUGAAGAUACAGAAGAUUGUAGAUUUGUUGCAUCUAUUAUUAUUUCAUGUUUUUUCAACCUCUCAAAUAAGGAUCAACAGGAAUUUGGGAAAUAUCUUGAGAACAUGCAUCUUAACCACCAACAAAAUGGACCACAGUUUUUCAGCUCACCUAACAGAAAAUCAUCUGAGCUCCUGUUGGCCUGUUUGUCAUCCAUCAUAAUUUUCAUCAGAUACCACUGGACCAAUGAAGCUGAAAUUUCACAUUCUUGUUUUCACAAAUGAUGACUCAAAUAAUCUGCAACAGCAACCAUUUUGAAAACUCUUCUUGUGUUGAAAUGUAAUUUUGACCUCCAUUUUACCUUGCUUUUAAAAUUCUCUCAAAGGGCACAUUUUAUGUGGGAGCUGAACUUAAGCAUGUUUUGCCUUAUGAAGGGAUCAUAUUUUGUUCAAGCCAUUAAAGUGUAAGUUUUUAGUUUUUCGGUAUUUGAGCAGAUGUGUUUUUAACAUCCGUUUAGACAGAAGAAUGAUUUUAAAGGUCUGUUUUUGUUCACACUCGAAACUGUUUGCGACAUGUAGAUGAGCUACAGCUGUGUGGCAGUUAUAGUUCUUACCCCUCAGAGUACUGACUAGACCAUGAGUCAUGUGAAAGUUGGUCAGACAGACAAAAGUACAAGAUAUUUCACAAAACAUAUAUCUGUGUUUGAAUUGUAUUCUCGUCUCUCAUUACCAGUAGAGAGAGUGUUGUACAGUAUGGACUCGUUACUGUUUAAAUAAUCAGAAUGACAACAAUGGGCUACAAACAGUUAACAGCAUAAAAAGCAAUGUUCUUGUUGAUAUUUAUAGGAAAUAAUCCUUUUGUUUUGAAAUUAAUAUAUUUGAUCUUGUUGAUUUCAUCUGUGAUUUAUCCUUUAGCCAAUUUGUUAUAAUCGUAGAUAUUAAUUAGUUUUAGUGUUUUGUUAUAAAUUGAGAAUUACAAGCUUGGUAUAUUUAUCGUGUGAAAUAUAUUGUUAGACUAUUUUUCUGUGUGAUUAAUCCAUAGUCUGCGCAGGUUCUGUUUGAACUGAACACUACAGUCAAAGUUAAUUGUUAUGCAUAAUAUUAUUGGAUAUUUAUCCUUUUCAAGUCAUUUUAAACAAAUGAAAAGAACCCUCUAACAUGGAAGUGUUAAGUUUUAGUUUGUUGUUCAAGUUUCAAAUGUUGAUGGGAAUGAUUUGGAUGUCUGUCAGAUGUUACUGCUCUUUGCUUAAUCAAUGAAGGGAGAAAUUAUUGAAAUAACAUUUCCCAGUUUAGUCAAUACAUAUUAAUUGAGAUAUUUUGCUUCAGAAGCAAUAGGUUUAUUUAAAAAUAACAAUUAUUGUUAAAUAAAAAAGGGUGUUUUAAGAUUCUGCUGAAAUAGAACUAAUUCCUUUUUUGAACCAGUUACUGCUUAGAAAAUAAGUUAAAAACAAAAAUACUGCCUGACAGUUGAAUUCAUGGAUCUGCAGGGUGCGGUUAAUAUCGGCAGGUGGAAGAUUUGACCAGGGGCCAGUCUGUGACGUCAUCACUCACUGCUGACCUGUUUGUAGAUAUCGCACAUUGACAAAUACACAUAGAGCAUGAACUGCGUGUGCUCUUAUGUCACAUGCCACCGCAGACCCUAUGCAGUUGAAAUGGAUUCUUCCAUUGCAUGUGGAACACCUGUUGUCUCAGAACGCAGUGUUCACAUACAGUUAAGUAUGUUUAGUAGUGUGAGAAAAUAUUUCUUCUUCAGUGGCAAUAAGUAAUGAUAACGUUUUCACUCGAAUGAGUUGAUCUACUGUUGAUUAUCCUGCCUUGUUUCAGUGUGGAUACAGUAUUGUUUAGUGAGAAUCGUUUCAAGAGUGGUAUUGUUACAUUAGUCGUUGAUUGAGCCUUCAGUCUCGAUGUGCAGACUCCGCUUGGAUGGAUUGUGUAUGGUGGAAUAAAAUGGUAACAUCU
rnacentral:misc_RNA from 1 species